rnacentral:rRNA from 1 species
UAUGAUCCAGAGUACCACGGGACACGUGAAACCCUGUGGGAAGCAGGAGGGACCACCCUCCAAGGCUAAAUACUACCUAGUGACCGAUAGCGUAUAGUACCGUGAGGGAAAGGUGAAAAGAACCCCGGGAGGGGAGUGAAAUAGAACCUGAAACCCUGCACUUACAAGCUGUGGAAGCACAUUUCUUGUGUGACCGCGUACUUUUUGUAGAACGGGCCAACGAGUUACGUUAAGUAGCAAGGUUAAGCACUUAAGGUGCGGAGCCGUAGCGAAAGCGAGUUUUAACUGAGCGUUCAGUUACUUGACGUAGACCCGAAACCGGGCGACCUACCCAUGAGCAGGAUGAAGCGAAAGUAAAAU